rnacentral:tRNA from 1 species
CUGUGGCGAAAUGAUUACAGUGCCAGUCUCUCGAUCGGUUGACCCGGGUACAAAUCCCAGUGGC